rnacentral:rRNA from 1 species
GACAGAGGGGGCAAGCGUUGCUCGGAAUUACUGGGCGUAAAGGGCGCGUAGGCGGGAUGGCAAGUCGGUCGUGAAAUCCCUCGGCUCAACCGAGGUGCGUCGAUCGAUACUGCCGUUCUUGAGGAUUGCAGAGGAGACUGGAAUUCCCGGUGUAGCGGUGAAAUGUGUAGAGAUCGGGAGGAACACCGGUGGCGAAGGCGGGUCUCUGGGCAAUUCCUGACGCUGAGGCGCGAAAGCGUGGGGAGCAAACGGG